rnacentral:tRNA from 1 species
GGGGCCGUCGGCUAGCGGGAGGCUGCCGGGUUUGGGUCCCGGUGACCGGGGUUCGAAUCCCCGCGGCCCCA